rnacentral:rRNA from 1 species
UACGUAGGUGGCAAGCGUUGUCCGGAUUUACUGGGCGUAAAGAGCGCGCAGGCGGUCGAUUUAGUCGCGUGUGAAAGCCCCGGCUCAACUGGGGACGGGUCACGCGUACUGAUCGACUCGAAGGCAGGAGAGGGUAGUGGAAUUCCCGGUGUAGUGGUGAAAUGCGUAGGAUAUCGGGAGGAACACCGAGUGGCGAAGGCGACUACCUGGCCUGUUCUUGACGCUGAGGCGCGAAAGCCAGGGAGCAAGCGGG